AUGUGCAAUCAUACUAAUAAUUAGAACUAUGCAGUUAAGCAUGCUUGAGUGAGAGUAGUACUAGGAUGACUUCCCUCCUGAGAAAUCCUUGUGUUGCACCUC
rnacentral:rRNA from 2 species